CGCUGGCGGCGUGCCUAAUACAUGCAAGUCGAGCGAACAGACGAGGAGCUUGCUCCUCUGACGUUAGCGGCGGACGGGUGAGUAACACGUGGAUAACCUACCUAUAAGACUGGGAUAACUUCGGGAAACCGGAGCUAAUACCGGAUAAUAUAUUGAACCGCAUGGUUCAAUAGUGAAAGACGGUUUUGCUGUCACUUAUAGAUGGAUCCGCGCCGCAUUAGCUAGUUGGUAAGGUAACGGCUUACCAAGGCAACGAUGCGUAGCCGACCUGAGAGGGUGAUCGGCCACACUGGAACUGAGACACGGUCCAGACUCCUACGGGAGGCAGCAGUAGGGAAUCUUCCGCAAAGGGCGAAAGCCUGACGGAGCAACGCCGCGUGAGUGAUGAAGGUCUUCGGAUCGUAAAACUCUGUUAUUAGGGAAGAACAAAUGUGUAAGUAACUAUGCACGUCUUGACGGUACCUAAUCAGAAAGCCACGGCUAACUACGUG
rnacentral:rRNA from 1 species